GACCGUCCAGCCGCCCAUUCUUCCUUGUUCCUUCCUCUCUCGAAGACUCACCCUUCAAUCCUUCAUUCCUUUAAGGCUCUCUACUUCAAAACUUCUUUAUUCUCUCCUCUUCUUUUUUUAUUUCUCCAUUUCAAAAUCACAAGUCCCCUCUAGUCUCAGUGCUCUAUGUGUCUCUUGCGUCUCAGCCUCCAUCCUCAAAUGCAUCUCCCAUCUUACGUCUUCAAGCUCCAAAUUUGAUGAAUCCAUAGAUUCAACACUUUUGGGCAGAUUCAUCUUCAA
rnacentral:misc_RNA from 1 species